rnacentral:rRNA from 1 species
AACGUAGGAUCCGAGCGUUGUCCGGAAUCACUGGGUGUAAAGGGUGCGUAGGCGGGCUUGCGCGUCAAGGGUUAAAGACCUCGGCUCAACCGAGGGAAUGCCCUUGAUACGGCAGGUCUUGAGGGCGGGGGAGGAUGGUGGAAUUCCUGGUGUAGCGGUGAAAUGCGUAGAGAUCAGGAGGAACACCGAAGGGGAAGGCAGCCAUCUGGACCGCCACUGACGCUGAGGCACGAAAGCGUGGGGAGCAAACAGG